CCGGCGGCGGGGCCUGGCCCGCUCGGCGAGGAGCAGGCGGAGGCCGCGGGGUGGGGGGAGGGGCAACAGGGGACUCCGGCACGUGCUGCCGGGGCGGCGAGCGGGAGCGGGGCUCCUACGCGGCGGCGGGAGGCGAGAGGCGGGUGGGGCCUGCCGGGGCGUUGGCCCCAGUCGGCGGCGAGGCGCGGGCUCGGGGCCCGCAGCGGCGUUGGCGUGAGCGGCUCCUUCCCGCAUGGCGGCUCCGCCCGGGGCAGGUGGCGCCUCCUGGGACGGGCCGUGACGGGCGGCGGGGAAGAGGUGGCCGCGGAGACCUCGAGGUUCCCGCCGAGGCGCGCUGGGCGGGGGCGGGUCAGCGCCGCGGGGGCCGGCGCUGCCUGGGAGGCCGUGACAGCGGGGCCGGGUUCACAGAAGAGCUCGCUUGGCACUGCCCAGUGUCCGCCUGAGGUGGGGUGUUGGGGCUGCCAGGCAGCCUGGGCCAGCCAUGGCUUUUACCAAUUACAGCAGCCUGAACCGUGCCCAGCUGACCUUCGAGUACCUGCAUACCAACUCAACCACUCAUGAGUUCUUGUUUGGUGCCCUUGCUGAGCUUGUAGAUAAUGCCAGGUAUGUAUUUGAGACUGUAUUUGUAUUGGGAAUUAAUUAAGUUGCUGUGGUUUAACUAGCUCACAUAUUUAGGGUAAGCAGCUGAGUGACCUUCACUACCAGUAGAUCUUAAGAAGAAAGAUGUAAUACAGAAGCUUAUGUUAUAGCUGAAUGGUGAUGGUGCACCUGUAUCCUACAUAAGAUACAGGCCCUGCCCAAGAGGAGGACGGGCCCCAUCUUGAAAAACUGAUAGUAUAAACAGCUAGAAAAUACACUGUGUGUUGGGAGACCAAGGAGGAUCAAUUUUAUAUCCUUUUUUCCCUAGCCUUUUGAUGUGGUUGUGCAUUGUUGUGCUUUGCAAAAGUGAAUUUAUGGCCAUUUUGAAGAAUAGUUAGGUCAUCUGGUGCAUUGGGAUAGGGAGGGAGGUUCCAGACACAAAGGGGAGCACAGACUCUGAAGAACUCUUCCUUGAGGAGAAGGUAAGUAAUGUAACGGAAGUAUUGAUGUCUUUCAAAAGCUGAAAGAAGCUUGAAAUUGGAGGCUUAUUCCAUCGUGAUGUACUAAGAUAUUUUUCCUUCAUGUACUCAUUUUUCCCUCCUAAAAUGAGUGUUUAUGAUGGAAUAGGUAUUUGCAUUGUAAUCAGAUUUAAUUAGUAUGCAGCAUCAGUGUCUUGUGGUGGAGUUUGGAUCCAAACAAGGGAAGGCCAAAAAUGCAAUAGUACACAAAAGCCUCUUGGAUUUCUUUGAGGGGUGCUGACACUUAGAGCCUUAGAGAGACAUGGUGGGUGAGGUAAUACCUUUUAUUGGACCAAUUUCUGUUGGUGAGAGACAAGCUUUCGAGCUUACGUAAACAUAGCUCUUGAAGAAAAGUUUUAUGUAAGCUCAUCUCUCACCAACAGAAGUUGGUCCAAUAAAAGAUACUACCUAAUUUGCUUUGUCUCUCUA
rnacentral:lncRNA from 1 species